GACGAACGCUGGCGGCGUGCCUAACACAUGCAAGUCGAGCGGAGAUCAUAGCAAUGUGAUCUUAGCGGCGGACGGGUGAGUAACGCGUGGGCAACCUGCCUUUAUCAGGGGGAUAACACAGGGAAACUUGUGCUAAUACCGCAUAAAAUCAUGAAAGGACAUCCUUUUAUGAUCAAAGGAGUAAUCCGGAUAGAGAUGGGCCCGCGUCCGAUUAGCUAGUUGGUGGUGUAACGGACCACCAAGGCGACGAUCGGUAGCCGAACUGAGAGGUUGAUCGGCCACAUUGGGACUGAGACACGGUCCAUACUCCUACGGGAGGCAGCAGUGAGGAAUCUUCCACAAUGGGCGCAAGCCUGAUGAAGCGACACCGCGUGAAGGAAGAAGGUCUAACGAUUGUAAACUUCUUUUCUGGAGGAGCAUAAUGAGAGUACUUCAGGAAUAAGGAACGGCUAAUCACGUGCCAGCCGCCGCGGUAA
rnacentral:rRNA from 1 species